rnacentral:rRNA from 1 species
UACGAAGGGGGCUAGCGUUGUUCGGAUUUACUGGGCGUAAAGCGCACGUAGGCGGGUCGUUAAGUCGGGGGUGAAAUCCUGGAGCUCAACUCCAGAACUGCCUUCGAUACUGGCGACCUAGAGUCCGGAAGAGGUGAGUGGAACUCCUAGUGUAGAGGUGGAAUUCGUAGAUAUUAGGAAGAACACCAGUGGCGAAGGCGGCUCACUGGUCCGGUACUGACGCUGAGGUGCGAAAGC